rnacentral:rRNA from 1 species
GCACCCGCGGUAAUUCCAGCACCAAUAGCGUAUAUUAAUGCUGCUGCUGUUAAAAAGCUCGUAGUUGGAUCAAGAGUUCGACAGUGCACGGUGGCCCUGUUUGUCAUAGUGGUUCCGAUCACUGUGGCGGCAGCGGAUCAACCCCGUGCGCCAAACUGUCCGCUCUAACAGACCGAAGCGGUUCCCUGUGAGUAGGCUCCUUCAUUGGGGCUGAAAGCGCUUACGCAUUAACCAUAUGCAUACGGGACGUCGGUCAAUGUUACUGUGAACAAACCAGCGUGUCCAAAACAGGCUUUCGCCUGAAUGUUCGAGCAUGGAAUAACAAGGGAUCGAUUCUCUCGGUUCUUUUUGUUGGUUUUUAACCCGAGAAGGAGUAAUUCAGGCCACGGUGUCUGAGUUGGGUUCCCCUGGCCUCCGGGUCAGGCCCCAAUUAGGCCGUGUGCUUACGGGAUCAAUAGGGACUGACGGGGUCGUACGUACUUCCACGUCAGAGGUGAAAUUCUUAGAUCGUGGGAAGACGAACUUCUGCGAAAGCAUUCGACAAGAAUGUCUUCAUUAAUCAAGAACGAGAGUGUGGGGAUCAAAGAUGAUCAGAUACCGUUGUAGUCCACUACUGUAAACGAUGCCGUCUCAGGAUUGAGAAGUGAACUGAAUGACUUUCACAGCACUAACCCCUGAAACGAGAAAUCAAAGAUUAUGGGUUCAGGGGGGAGUACAUUCGCAAGGCUGAAACUUAAAGGAAUUGACGGAAUGACACCACCAGGCGUGGAGUAUGCGGCUUAAUUUGACUCAACACGGGAAAUUUUACUAGGUCAGGACAAUGUAAGGAUUGACAGGCUGAGAGCCCUUUCUAGAUCCAUUGUGUGGUGGUGCAUGGCCGCUCCUGGUUGGUGAAGUGAUUUGUCUGGUUGAUUCCGUUAACGAACGAGAUCUUGACCAAUAAAUAGGCCGCAGUGUCAGUAGUCCGAUGGGUGCUCCUUCGGGAAACUAUCCUCGGGCGAGACAGCUGCGUACUAAGCUUCUUAUUGGGACUGUGCGCGUCUAUAGCGCGCGGAAGUGCAAGCCAAUAGCAGGUCUGUGAUGCUCCUAAAUGUCCUAGGCUGCACGCGCACUACACUGAUUAAGAAAACGAGUCUGAGUGCCUUCUGGCAACCUACCUGGAAGCGGGUGGGAAAUCUUUUGAACUUGCAUCGUGAUGAG